CCCUUAGAUGUUCUGGGCCGCACGCGCGCUACACUGAUGCAUUCAACGAGCCUAUCCUUGACCGACAGGCCCGGGUAAUCUUUGAAUCUGCAUCGUGACGGGGAUAGAUUAUUGCAAUUAUUAAUCUUCAACGAGGAGUGCCUAGUAGGCGCAAGUCAUCAGCUUGCGUCGAUUACGUCCCUGCCCUUUGUACACACCGCCCGUCGCUCCUACCGAUUGGGUGUGCUGGUGAAAUGUUCGGAUCGGCCGUUUGUCGCGGUUUCCGCGUCAUGUGGCUGAGAAGUUCAUUAAACCCUCCCACCUAGAGGAAGGAGAAGUCGUAACA
rnacentral:rRNA from 1 species